GAAAUCCCAUCGAGGGGCGUCAGGCCAGGAGCCAGAGGCAACACAGCAUCCAGCUUCUUUUUCUGCCAGGCCAUGUUUCCAUGCCUGUGCUCAUCACAGACGCAUAUCAACGCUGAGGAGAGUGGAGUUUCAUUUCAUAGACAAGGCAAUGGGAUUCGAACCCGUUCUGAACGGCAGGUGGCACUGUUGCCAGUUCCAUGAAUGUUCAUUCUCAAUAAAAAGCCUUGGGUAAGAAGC